UACGUAGGGUGCAAGCGUUAAUCGGAAUUACUGGGCGUAAAGCGUGCGCAGGCGGUUUUGUAAGUCAGAUGUGAAAUCCCCGGGCUUAACCUGGGACUGCGUUUGAAACUACAAGGCUAGAGUGUGACAGAGGGGGGGGUGGAAUUCCACGUGUAGCAGUGAAAUGCGUAGAGAUGUGGAGGAACACCGAUGGCGAAGGCAGCCCCUGGGUUAACACUGACGCUCAGGCACGAAAGCGUGGGAGCAAACAGG
rnacentral:rRNA from 1 species